CUCAACUAGAAAAAAGGUUUCAGCCACUCAUGGCUGAAACAAAAACUAAAAAUAAAGAAAGGAAGAAAAAGAGAAGAUGUCACUUGCAAUCCCGUAGGUGUCUCCCAGGGGGAGUGUAAAGACCAUGUAGAGGCUUCUUAUGUGGCUUUUUAUAGUUGAAAAGUGUUGCCCUAGGUCAUACUUACUGCCCAAGAGGUAUUUUCUGCCCAAGAUGUGUCUUGCUUCCUAAUUAGUGUAGAGGCUGCCCAAGGUGCUGCCCAUGUGCAACUUGCUGCCCAAGUUGUUGCAAACGAGGAAAGAAUCGGACUGCAAGGCUUCAGAAAGAAGUUGGCGCGCAGAUUGCCUUCAGAAUAGGAAAGGAGCGUACCUUGUGCUUGAAAAGGAAGGAAGAGCGAUCCAAGGCUGCCAAUAGAGGAAGAAAAGUCGUGGCUUGAUGUUCAUAAGGAAAUAUGCACGUACCAAGGCUUUCAGAAGAGGAAGGACGCGCGGAUCAUGCUUCCAGAAGAGGUGGCACGCGCAUGGAUUGCAAAAGAGGCAGGAGAAUGCAGUCAUUAAUGUGCAGAAGUGGAAAUAUAUCUGUCCAGUCUUUCCUUUUUAGGUGGAGCCUUCGUUUGAAUUUUGAAUGCUGAAUGCAGAAGAGGAAGAGCAUCUCCUUGAGAUCUUGCUGCCUAAACAGGAAGAUAUGACUGCUGCAGUGUAUGCACAUCUUUGAACAAGGAAAGAAAGAUCUGCGAUUUUAAUCUUCUGACGAGCUUUCCUUGUUUACUUUUGCUUCUGCACUUUCCUCAUUUGAAGACUUUCCUUUUCUGAAAACUUGCCUUAUUUGAAAACCUUCCUUUCCUGGCCCAUGUUCUAAUUAAGGCAGGAAAGAUUCUGCAGUUCGAAUUUCGGACAGUUUGUUGACUGUGCUUUCUGACUCUUUCCUUAUUUGGC
rnacentral:lncRNA from 1 species